rnacentral:tRNA from 1 species
UGUGGUUUAGAGUAACGGUUAACUCGAAGGUCUCAUAAGCCUUAGCUGCAGGUUCGAAUCCUGCAACCGCAACAA